AACGAACGCUGGCGGCGUGCUUAACACAUGCAAGUCGAGCGGGAAAGUUUCCUUCGGGAAGCGAGUACAGCGGCAGACGGGUGAGUACAACGUAGGUAACCUACCCUCGAGACCGGGAUAACCUGUCGAAAGACGGGCUAAUACCGGAUAAGACCACAAGGGCUGCGGCCUUUGAGGUAAAAGAUGGCCUCUGCUUGCAAGCUAUCACUUGGGGGAUGGGGCCUGCGCGCCAUUAGCAGUUGGUGAGGUAACGGCUCACCAAGGCAAAGAUGGCUAGCUGGUCUGAGAGGAUGGCCAGCCACACUGGGACUGAGACACGGCCCAGACUCCUACGGGAGGCAGCAGUGGGGAAUAUUGCGCAAUGGGCGAAAGCCUGACGCAGCGACGCCGCGUGGGUG
rnacentral:rRNA from 1 species